CUGGCGGCAGGCUUAACACAUGCAAGUCGAGCGGAGAUGAGGUGCUUGCACCUUAUCUUAGCGGCGGACGGGUGAGUAAUGCUUAGGAAUCUGCCUAUUAGUGGGGGACAACAUUCCGAAAGGAAUGCUAAUACCGCAUACGCCCUACGGGGGAAAGCAGGGGAUCUUCGGACCUUGCGCUAAUAGAUGAGCCUAAGUCGGAUUAGCUAGUUGGUGGGGUAAAGGCCUACCAAGGCGACGAUCUGUAGCGGGUCUGAGAGGAUGAUCCGCCACACUGGGACUGAGACACGGCCCAGACUCCUACGGGAGGCAGCAGUGGGGAAUAUUGGACAAUGGGCGGAAGCCUGAUCCAGCCAUGCCGCGUGUGUGAAGAAGGCCUUUUGGUUGUAAAGCACUUUAAGCGAGGAGGAGGCUACCUGGAUUAAUACUCUAGGAUAGUGGACGUUACUCGCAGAAUAAGCACCGGCUAACUCUG
rnacentral:rRNA from 1 species